rnacentral:rRNA from 1 species
AGGACGAACGCUGGCGGCGUGCUUAACACAUGCAAGUCGAGCGGAAAGGCCCUUCGGGGUACUCGAGCGGCGAACGGGUGAGUAACACGUGAGUAAUCUGCCCCUAGCUCUGGGAUAGCUCCGGGAAACCGGGAUUAAUACCAGAUACGACCACUUUAGACAUCUGUUGUGGUGGAAAGAAUUUUGGCUAGGGAUGAGCUCGCGGCCUAUCAGCUUGUUGGUGAGGUAACGGCUCACCAAGGCGACGACGGGUAGCCGGCCUGAGAGGGCGACCGGCCACACUGGGACUGAGACACGGCCCAGACUCCUACGGGAGGCAGCAGUGGGGAAUAUUGCGCAAUGGGCGAAAGCCUGACGCAGCGACGCCGCGUGGGGGAUGAAGGCUUCGGGUUGUAACCCUUUCAGCAGGGACGAAGCGAAAGUGACGGUACCUGCAGAAGAAGCGCCGGCUAACUACGCGCCAGCACGCCGC